GUUUGAUCCUGGCUCAGGACGAACGCUGGCGGCGUGCCUAAUACAUGCAAGUCGAACGCACUCUCGUUUAGAUUGAAGGAGCUUGCUCCUGAUUGAUAAACAUUUGAGUGAGUGGCGGACGGGUGAGUAACACGUGGGUAACCUGCCCUAAAGUGGGGGACAACAUUUGGAAACAGAUGCUAAUACCGCAUAAAACCUAACACCGCAUGGUGUAGGGUUGAAAGAUGGUUUCGGCUAUCACUUUAGGAUGGACCCGCGGUGCAUUAGUUAGUUGGUGAGGUAAAGGCUCACCAAGACCGUGAUGCAUAGCCGACCUGAGAGGGUAAUCGGCCACACUGGGACUGAGACACGGCCCAGACUCCUACGGGAGGCAGCAGUAGGGAAUCUUCCACAAUGGACGAAAGUCUGAUGGAGCAACGCCGCGUGAGUGAAGAAGGUUUUCGGAUCGUAAAACUCUGUUGUUGGAGAAGAAUGUAUCUGAUAGUAACUGAUCAGGUAGUGACGGUAUCCAACCAGAAAGCCACGGCUAACUACGUGCCAGCAGCCGCGGUAAUACGUAGGUGGCAAGCGUUGUCCGGAUUUAUUGGGCGUAAAGCGAGCGCAGGCGGUUUCUUAAGUCUGAUGUGAAAGCCUUCGGCUCAACCGAAGAAGUGCAUCGGAAACUGGGAAACUUGAGUGCAGAAGAGGACAGUGGAACUCCAUGUGUAGCGGUGAAAUGCGUAGAUAUAUGGAAGAACACCAGUGGCGAAGGCGGCUGUCUGGUCUGUAACUGACGCUGAGGCUCGAAAGCAUGGGUAGCAAACAGAAUUAGAUACCCUGGUAGUCCAUGCCGUAAACGA
rnacentral:rRNA from 1 species